CCAGCUGUGGUAUAGUGUUUUGAGUGUCAGACUAGGACUCUGGAGAGCAGGGUUCGAAUCCCCACUUGGUUGUG